UGCAGUCGACGAGAAUAUACUUCGGUAUAGAGUAUAGUGGCGGACGGGUGAGUAACGCGUAGGGAGUUACCCAGUAGUGGGGAAUAACCAUUGGAAACGAUGGCUAAUACCGCAUACGCCCUUCGGGGGAAAGAUUUAUUGCUAUUGGAAACGCCUGCGUUAGAUUAGCUAGUUGGUAGGGUAAGAGUCUACCAAGGCAACGAUCUAUAGCUGGUUUGAGAGGAUGAUCAGCCACACCGGAACUGAGACACGGUCCGGACUCCUACGGGAGGCAGCAGUCGGGAAUAUUGCACAAUGGGGGAAACCCUGAUGCAGCCAUACCGCGUGAGUGAUGAAGGCCCUUGGGUUGUAAAGCUCUUUCACUAAUGAGGAUGAUGACGUUAAUUAGAGAAGAAGUCCCGGCUAACUUCGUGCCAGCAGCCGCGGUAAUACGAAGGGGACUAGCGUUGUUCGGAUUUACUGGGCGUAAAGCGUGCGUAGGCGGUCUUUUUAGUUAGGUGUGAAAUCCCAGGGCUCAACCUUGGAACUGCACUUAAUACUGGAAGACUAGAAUUUUGGAGAGGAUAGUGGAAUUUACAGUGUAGAGGUAAAAUUCGUA
rnacentral:rRNA from 1 species